GAUUUAGCGGCGGACGGGUGAGUAAUGCCUAGGAAUCUGCCUGGUAGUGGGGGAUAACGUCCGGAAACGGGCGCUAAUACCGCAUACGUCCUACGGGAGAAAGCAGGGGACCUUCGGGCCUUGCGCUAUCAGAUGAGCCUAGGUCGGAUUAGCUAGUUGGUGAGGUAAUGGCUCACCAAGGCGACGAUCCGUAACUGGUCUGAGAGGAUGAUCAGUCACACUGGAACUGAGACACGGUCCAG
rnacentral:rRNA from 1 species